rnacentral:rRNA from 1 species
GACGAACCGUGCGAACGUUAUUCGGAAUCACUGGGCUUAAAGGGCGCGUAGGCGGGCGGACAAGUCGGGGGUGAAAUCGUUCGGCCCAACCGGACAAGGGCCCCCGAUACUGGCCGUCUCGAGGGAGGUAGGGGUCGAUGGAACUUCCGGUGGAGCGGUGAAAUGCGUAGAGAUCAGGAAGAACAUCGGUGGCGAAGGCGCUCUGCUGGACCAUAACUGACACUCAGGGACGAAAGCUAGGGGAGCGAAUGGG